rnacentral:misc_RNA from 1 species
AAGUCGUAACAAGGUCUCCGUUGGUGAACCAGCGGAGGGAUCAUUACGAGAGUGUCACCACUCCCAACCCAUUGUUUACCUACCCGUCCACCGUGCUUCGGCAGGCAGCCCUGUGGGACAGAGCCUCGCCCCCUUCGCGGGGGGUGCCUGCCGCUGGCCAACCAACAACUCUAGCUGUUUUAGUACCAUCUGAGUCUUCCACAAAUGAACAAAACUUUCAACAACGGAUCUCUUGGUUCUG